GAAAAACUUGAGUGAACUGAGAAGACAGACAGCCCGUGACCAAAUUCUGAGAACUCCAACCAUUCACUGGUUGAGUGGAAGAGAACAAGCUCAGAAAAUAAAUGGAGAAAACAUGGUAGGAGGAGUAGAAGAAAAAUGAGGAGAAUGCUGUCUCAUGGAAGACAAGCUAGCAAAGCUUGGAGAAGCCUGAACAAGCUGGUCACCCUCACUGGCAAAGACUUUCAUUUCCACGGAAGGGAAACUGAUGACCUGGGACCAUUGGAAGAACUAGGAAACAAACAUGAGAGCUUCGGGGAAGACAGACCAGCCAAAAUUCUCUGAAGGAAGAUGUAAGUGAGGGACGUUUCUGAGCUGGAUGACUUCACCACUGAAGUGCAAGUGAGAGGAUGCUGGAGCAUGGUGGAUUGUCAAGUGCCAAGCUGGAAUAGUAAACGCAGUGGUGGGGAGUGGAUCCGGUAAUACUGGAGCAUUUAGAAUCAAGGCCAGCCCUCAGACUGAAUGUGGAGAUAACUAGUUCUCUGCCAGUCUAUUAUUUCUGAAGAAAGAGCUUGACUAAGUUUAUUUUACUCACAUUUUUUUUUGCUUGUCUCAAAUUA
rnacentral:lncRNA from 1 species